GACGAACGCUGGCGGCGUGCUUAACACAUGCAAGUCGAACGGAAAGGCCCUGCUCUUGUGGGGUGCUCGAGUGGCGAACGGGUGAGUAACACGUGAGUAAACUGCCCUUGACUUUGGGAUAAAUUCAGGAAACUGGGGCUAAUACCGGAUAGGAGCUCCUGAUGCAUGGUGGGGGUUGGAAAGUUUCGGCGGUUGGGGAUGGACUCGCGGCUUAUCAGCUUGUUGGUGGGGUAGUGGCUUACCAAGGUUGUGACGGGUAGCCGGCCUGAGAGGGUGACCGGCCACAUGGGGACUGAGAUACGGCCCAGACUCCUACGGGAGGCAGCAGGGGGGAAUAUUGCACAGUGGGCGGAAGCCUGAUGCAGCAACGCCGCGUGCGGGAUGACGGCCUUCGGGUUGUAAACCGCUUUCGCCUGUGACGAAGCGUGAGUGACGGUAAUGGGUAAAGAAGCACCGGCUAACUACGUG
rnacentral:rRNA from 1 species